rnacentral:rRNA from 1 species
AUUGAACGCUGGCGGGAUGCCUUACACAUGCAAGUCGAACGGAGUGGCGAACGGGUGAGUAAUGUAUCGGUACGUGCCCAGUAGCGGGGGAUAACUAUGCGUAAGCGUAGCUAAUACCGCAUACUAUUGGAGCGGCCGAUACCGGAUUGGCUAGUUGGUGGGGUAACGGGUUACCAAGGCGACGUUCCGUAGCAGGUUUGGGAGGACGACCAGCCACACUGGGACUGAGACAAGGCCCAGACUCCUACGGGAGGCAGCAGUGGGGAAUUUUGGACAAGUGGCGAAAGCCUGAUCCAGUCAUCCCGCGUGUGUGAUGAAGGCCUUCGGGUUGUAAAGCACUUUUGGCAGGAAAGCGGUACCUGCAGAAUAAGCACCGGCUAACUACGUGCCAGCAGCCGCGGUAAUUC